ACCAACCCAAAAUUUGUAUUUUUUACAUGAUUUUAGGGUCCCAAUAUUGAAAAAGUAGUAGGAAAAAUCGAUAAUCAAAUUUCGAAGUGACACCAUUUUCUUUAAUUAUUGACUUUUUCUUUCGUUCUAGUACCCGUUGUAGUCAAACUAAUACUCAUUGAGAAUCUUGUAUGUUUUCUUUCAUUUCAGAUAAACAAAAUAGCAGCAAUCAUGGUCACUAUGGGACGAUCUUUCUGAAAUUCGACUAAGUUUCAUAAGAUAUGAUAUUCCACUUAAGGAACGAAGGUGUGUCGAACCAAGCGUUCGAAGCUACUCUAUCUGGAACAAAAUUGUUAUCACUAUACAAUGGCUACCUCUCUACCGAGUUAUUCUUACCUGGCUAGCUUUUCUCUAAUUGUUAUGUACCUAUGGUUGGGAAAAUAUUAGAGGUGAUUACCGAUACGGUGUCAACGAUUUUAGCAGACAGAGUUGUGUUUGGUUUUUUCCAAGGAAAAUGUGAAUGCGUACCUCAAGUACAAUAGAGCCAACUUGAUCGUUGGACAGUAUGUUACGAUUCGAUGAAGACACUUCCCCCUGUUGAACGGCAUGACUGUUCGAGCCUUCCUGUUGCCUAAUGUGCCGAAUCUGUGAAGGAAAAAGAAAAAAAUCAAAUUUUCAGUAACGUUCUUACUUAAAAAUUAAACUAUUGUUGACAGUGGUCGACUGCCUCUGUUGCAAAAGCUUUUUGUACUGAACGAUAUACUUCUUGCAACUUUUAUUUUCGACUUGACACUAUAUUCAUUAGAAAAUAUCUUUGGCGAUAAUUAUUUAUU